GAGAAAAGGAGAUCUGAGGACAGGAAAGUGGAAUUGAUUUCAUGCUUAGCAAAAUGAGGGUUUCAGCAGAGGACAUUUUUGUGGCGAGGCUACAGAAUCAGAAGAAACGUUUGUCUGGGCAACUGGGAGAUUUAGUUUUUCAUGCAGCAAACCAAGACAUUGGGGUUAGCAUCAUCUCAAGUGUCAGUGUAGGACAGGAAAGGCAGGUUUAAGUUAGGGAGGGCAUCCAUCGGUGAGCUCUGACUGGAUGUGAGGACCUGUCACACUUGACGAGAGAUGAACGCUGCAGCACAUUCCUGGAUCGGAGGAUUCUAUGUUGGACACCACGACCUGGAUAAAGUCGUGGAUGGCUGCAGUGAUGACCUAGCCCAAGAUGAUCCCUUCUACGUCCGACCUUUUCCGCCUUUUUUCCACGGGAUGUCUUCAGAUGUUGGACCCUGCUACAUCACUCUGCCCAGCAGGACAUGGUCACCGAGAUUUUUUAAAUAAUUUUUUUAAAUGGACUUUAAACCCCGUCCCCCCGUCCCC